UCCCCAAACUGGUGGCAUCUACAGACAGCUC
rnacentral:piRNA from 1 species